UACGGGGGGAGCAAGCGUUGUUCGGAUUUACUGGGCGUAAAGGGCGCGUAGGCGGCGCAACAAGUCACUUGUGAAAUCUCCGGGCUUAACCCGGAGCGGCCAAGUGAUACUGUCGUGCUAGAGUGCGGAAGGGGCUACUGGAAUUCUCGGUGUAGCGGUGAAAUGCGCAGAUAUCGGGAGGAACACCAGUAGCGAAGGCGGCUCGCUGGGCCGUUCCUGACGCUGAGACGCGAAAGCGUGGGGAGCGAACAGG
rnacentral:rRNA from 1 species